AGGUAUUAGUUAGAUUGUGUCUGUAGUGUAAAUUUUAAGCGUUUAAGUGUUGUUUUCGUCGGAGCUGUUUUUUUGUCAAUUCAUAGAUCGUUGGAAUCAGAGAAUAACUGUUUGUGAAAUUAAGUCAUGAGUGAGUCUGUAUCCGAAAUGAGAAAUUUCUUGGACACAUCCGCAAAGGGUCAGUGCCCAGAGCAUAUCUUCCCACUUCAGAAAUGAAGAAGAAUUAUUCUCUACCCAUUAUACUAACCUAGAUUUGACUUGUUCUUACAAAAUAUUCCGGUAACAUAUUUUCGACCGCUUUCUUGAAAAAUGUAUUUAAAAACUCUUUCUACGUAUCGGGUUGAACGUGAUCAACAACCCCACCAUCUCUACAUUGAUUUUUCCAAAGAUUCUUUGUUUGGAGUUAGCUACAAAUCGAGGAUUAACAUUUACGUAGAUUUGCCUUAUCCCGUGCACAUGCCAUUUAAAUUCAACCACGAGGAAGUAGAAGAUAGCAUAAAAGGACUGUUAAAUCAUAAGAAUGAACGUCAAAAGGAACUGUUUCGUCUGAGAAGUAGAUUUAAAUUUUCAUCAAGAAGUAUUGGCGAACUGAAGUUACCCAAAUCAAAAGCUCACUACGCUGUCAUGCCAGAGGGUUUACUGGAUUUUUACAAAAGUAGAAACAAUGCUGAAGAUUUUAAGGCUGAUUAUAAUCUGUACUAUACAGGAGGUGUUCUAGAAUAUCUCCAAAUGGGACAGAAGAACUAUUUAAUAAGACCCAUUUUUAAUGGAUCACUGACAGCUCUAAAUUUAAGAGAUUCAGAAGACCAAAUUACCAUACCUUAUGUAGUGCGAGAAGCUGUAUGUGGUUUGAAAUGCUAUCAGAUAUCACAAAAAAACGCAUUUUUAGUUAUCAGAGAAAAGUAUCUAAUAACUGUCUUUAACCUUAAAAAAAUUCAAAAAUUAGACUUAAUAUUUAAUCAGUCUUAUGAAACGGCAGUGUUUGAUGCUAAACUAAAUAGUGCAAACUUAAAUCAUAUGGGCAUUGUUUUAUGUAAUGGCUCAAUACAAGUGGUAGAAGUUGAUACAGGGAAACCCAUAUUUAAUUUCCAAAAUGAUGUGGAAAACUCCCCAAACAACUUUCAACAGCUUGAGUUUAUGGAUCAAGAAAAACUGAUUGUAAUGGAUGAGUUUUGUUUAAAAAUAAUGAACUAUUGCACUAAAAUUGUGCUAAAAACUAUUAACCCUAAUGUGAUACCAUGUAACUCUUUGUGCAAUUUUAAAGUUUUACAUACCACUUUGUUUAUCAUCACCAGACACUAUAUUAUGAAAGCUGAUCUGGAGAAUGUAGAUGAUAUUUCAUAUUUUUCACACACACUAGACUAUGCUCCAUGCUUUGCUGACUUGAUAGAUAAAGAUGAUGAUAUAUUUCUUUGCCUGUCAGACCAUUUUAAUGAUUCUAAAGUGCUUUUUACUAGUCACUCUCUCUACAAUCUUCCUCACAGAGUGCCAGGCAUUAAAACUACCUUAGAAGAGGCCCGUUUAAGAAACUCUAAUAUUUUAUUGCUUGACAAGUUAGAUGAGAGGCUGUCUUAUUCGACUGCCGGGAUAAAAUUUAUAGAGUUAGAAGAAAAAUUGUUUUUGUAUGCUACAAAUUGUGUAGGGGAAAUAUUUCGACAAGAAAUAUCUCUUGAGAAAAUUGAUACAGGACUAGCGGUGCAAGUUUUGGCUAAUUUUAUUACUAAAAUUCCAAAACUCAAUCCUAAAUUGCAUGUAACAGAUUUUGUAGAUAUGAGUCAUGCGUUUGAACUAUUAAAGAAUGGUAAUAACAUAGAGGCUACAAAAGAGCAAAACAUGACUAGUAGAUUUUUGAGCAAAUAUGGACGCGUGUAUGAAAAACAAAAUAUAACAAGCCAGUUUGCUAGUCAUUUCCUGGAUGUUUGGGAUAGCGACGAAGAAGAAGAUGUCGGAGUAUUGGAAAAUGUAACGGAAGUGCCUUUCCAUGAUAAAGUGACAGAAUGGAUGGACUCUCGGUACAAUAUGGCAGAAAACACCAUUGACAGCGAGCUGGAUUUGGAUUUCUUGACACAUUUGUAGUGUAUUUCAUACUUUGUGCUGAUGUUUCAUAAAUUAGAUGAUUAUUACUUCUUGCUUGAUAACAACACUGGCAGCCGUGGGCUUUGCCAAACCGCAGGGCUACAACUACCCGUCGGCUCCAAGUGCUCCUAGCGCUCCCGGAGGCAGCUACGGCGCACCACCUGGGCCCCCUCCCUCGCAGUAUGGGCCACCCAACG